AGAGUUUGAUCAUGGCUCAGAAUACAACGCUGGCGGCGUGCCUCAGACAUGCAAGUCGAACGAUUAAAGCUCUCUUCGGAGAGUGUAUAGAGUGGCGCACGGGUGAGUAACACGUAAGUAAUCUACCCUCGAGUGGGGAAUAACAACCGGAAACGGUUGCUAAUACCGCAUAAUGCAGCGGCACCGCAAGGUGACAGUUGUUAAAGAUUUAUCGCUUGAGGAGGAGCUUGCGGCAGAUUAGCUAGUUGGUAGGGUAACGGCUUACCAAGGCUACGAUCUGUAACCGGUCUAAGAGGACGGUCGGUCACACUGACACUGAAUAACGGGUCAGACUCCUACGGGAGGCAGCAGUCGGGAAUUUUGGGCAAUGGGCGAAAGCCUGACCCAGCAACGCCGCGUGAAGGAUGAAGUAUUUCGGUAUGUAAACUUCGAAAGAAUAGGAAGAAUUAAUGACGGUACUAUUUAUAAGGUCCGGCUAACUACGUG
rnacentral:rRNA from 1 species